rnacentral:rRNA from 1 species
UAGGGAAUCUUCCGCAAUGGACGCAAGUCUGACGGAGCAACGCCGCGUGAGUGAAGAAGGAUUUCGGUUCGUAAAACUCUGUUGUUAGAGAAGAACAGCGCAUAGAGUAACUGUUAUGCGUGUGACGGUAUCUAACCAGAAAGCCACGGCUAACUACGUGCCAGCAGCCGCGGUAAUACGUAGGUGGCAAGCGUUGUCCGGAUUUAUUGGGCGUAAAGCGAGCGCAGGCGGUCAAUUAAGUCUGAUGUGAAAGCCCCCGGCUCAACCGGGGAGGGUCAGUGGAAACUGGUUGACUUGAGUGCAGAAGGGGAGAGUGGAAUUCCAUGUGUAGCGGUGAAAUGCGUAGAUAUAUGGAGGAACACCGGUGGCGAAAGCGGCUCUCUGGUCUGUAACUGACGCUGAGGCUCGAAAGCGUGGGGAGCGAACAGG